AGACUACAAUAAUCAAUUAAUACAGAGGAGCUUGAUCUCUUAUAUACGGUUCUCAAAUGACUAUACUGUACGUUUGAAACACAUUAAAGUACAUAACUCCCUAUUGCAGCUCAAAAUACUCAUAACCACUGGAUGAUAAGGGCCCCUGUUCUUGUUGGUGCGCGUUACUCGCUACAGUUUUAUGACUCCAUCAAGAUUACCUGUGCAAAUUGUCCAUUCUUCUCCAUUAUCCUCCCCUAUUCGCCCCAAAAAUGCUGAAAACACACCCAACAGGUUCUCUGUGACCCACUAAAACUGCUAGGCAUGUGUGUUGCCUGUAUGAUUCUCACAGCCAAACCAUGUUAGCUGAAUCAGCUGACCCACAGAUCACAUAGCUAUCCACAUUGCUUAUGCACAUAACUUCAUGGGUGUGAACUGGAGUGCACCACCGUAUUGUAAUUGGCCUGAGACUCUAUGCCAGUAAUGAAUGUACCCAUCAGUGCAUCCACCGUACAAGACCCUGUUAU
rnacentral:misc_RNA from 1 species